GUAUUUCCUUUCUUUUUACAUUUAUGCAUUUAGCAGGCACUUUUAUUCAAAGUGACUUGCAAUACAUCAUCAGCAGAAAAAAAGAUGCAAAAACUGUCACUAGGGCGGCACCUUUUCAAAAAUACACCUUUAUUACCCUAUUUACCCCUAAAAGGGGCAUAUUGGUACCUUAAAAUUAUAAGUACUUUAAUACCUAAAAUGUACAUAUUAAUACCUUUUGAAAAGGUACCACCCAGUGACAGCUUUUGUAUUUUUUUUAUGAGUGUAGAGGAGUGAGGAACUGAGUUAUGAUUGUGCUGUGAGAUUAUAAAGCAUGUGUUAUACUAUAUGACUAAUAGUCAUAUGUCAACAGCUCAUUAUGCAAACUUGCAUGGAGACAUUAAAUGAGUUUUGAAUGCAAAAUGGUCCUGAGUUGCUGGAAAAACACACAAAAGGAAGAUUAUUUUGCUCAGAGAGUGGAAGACCUAUGAUCUUGAAACAUCAGCUUGGUUGAACACCAGUAGCUGCUCAAAUCAACUGUCCUGAGAACCACAGAGUGGCGUGAUGCUGUUUCUUCUUCUUUUGGUGUCAUUGGUUUGCUCUGGACUGUCAGUGGAGAGCCAUGGAAAAUACUUCAUCACGGCAUUCCCAGAAAACAUUGCCUACUACCAUCCACAGGAGUCUUCCAACACUCUCCAAAUUACUGCUUUCUACGACGACACCCUCGUCUCAAUCAGCAUCAACUACACAAACGUAUAUAAUGAUAAGCUACAGUCUGGGCAGAUUAAAAUUGUACAUUUUCCCAAGUACAUCGAGCAAUAUCAGUUCACAAACUCCUCUCUUUUAGUCAAAGUCCACAGCACUGAAAAGAUCGUGGUGCAGUGGCUCAGUAAACGCGGCGAUAGCGUGCAGUCUAACGUCGUUCAACCUGUUAGAAAUCUCGGAAAGUGGUAUUCAAUCCCAUUUAUCAAUUACAAUCAGAUGAUGGCGUCCUUGUACAAUAUGUCAGAUCAGUUAGCUCCAGACAACUGGAGAUACAAUUCAUUCAGGCUGAUCAUUAUCAACGCCGAGCAUGCUGUGAACUUAAUCACUGUGCGUACUAUCAGCACGGAUGGUCAAGAAGCGUUUAACAUUACUCUCAGACCUUACGAACUUUACCAGUUCCAAACUAACGGUUCGGACAUUAAACUGUACUCUAAUGCCAUCAUGGCUGUGCUGUUAACCCAUCCGUGUGUAGAAACUACCGUAUGUGAUUGCACUAUGGUGGUGAGCCACGUUCUCCCCGAAAAGCUGUGGGGUGACACGUUUGUCGUGCCAUUGGUGAAGAACCUGAAUACAGCCUGGCUGCAAGUGACUAACACAACGGAAGUAUGGCUCAAUGGCAGGAAUAUAAAAGCUCAACAGUCCAAUUCCUCAGAGCUAAUUCCCUUCCCGGAACUUAAGAGUGCAUCUCAGUUCAUCAGUGCAUCAAAUGAGGUGUCCAUCAGACUUAUCAGUCCAGGCCUCGUCUUAGAACUCAUACCAGAAACCAUGUUCGCUGCUUGUUACCUGGUUCAGAUGAACUCGACAGAGGGUGAGGCUGUUAUCAUAGCUGAAACAGCCAGUAAGGACUAUGUGUAUAUAGACAAGAAAUUACUGAGAUCCACUGACUGGAAACCCAUUCCCUAUUCAAACUACUCUUCCAUAUCUGUGUCACUUAAUGGUGUGCAUAUCAUCUGGCACCCAACCUCCAAGAUCGGAGUGUAUAGGUUUGAGAAGAUGGAGAGUGGAAUUCCUUAUGGAAGCCCAGCUAUCAUUUUAAACGAAGACCCAGAUCAUGAUGGCUGUGUGGCAGAUUCUGCACAAUUUAAGACCACUACUGAUGUCAUGACAUGGUCCCAGUCCCGUCAUUACUGCCUAAAUAUAUCUUACCAGCUGAGCACACCAAGCAGUGAAAUGUCCCAAAAAGAGAUGACCAACUUUCUGCAAAACAAUGGAAGUCGCGGGUACCUCUGGAUCGGUCUGCGACGCAGUCAGUUCAUGUCAGAGUGGUAUUGGCAGAAAGGCAAUGACAGCGAAUACAGUGUGAACUACACGAAGUGGGCUGAUGGGCAUCCAGAUAAGCCCUGGAAAGCUUGCGCUGCUGUGUCCCAAGAUGCCAACAAGGAGUUUUCCUGGAAGAGUUUGCCCUGUUGCACCAAGCUAAGGCCCAUCUGCUACAAAGGCAAAUACUUUAGUGAUGUGACCUUUAAUACACUAUAUGAUCAUUAUAGCAUUACUUCCCCAAAUGUCUGUCCUUCUUGCCAAAAUUCUUGACCUGAAGUUAGUAACUGCAAUAAUAAAUCAUAUUACAAAAGUUUAAUCAUGGUUGUUGGUAAAAUUAAUCUAAUUGCUUACUUAUUGAAAAAGCUUCUCGCUGUCUGUUACUUUAUAGAAUUCUGGUUGUUUUUAUGUUCAUAAAAUAAAUCAAUAUUCGCAUUUAAAAAUAUAUGGAUCUUCUGAAAACACAAAAAAACUACAUAUUAUUAGUUAUAUAUAUAUCAUAUUUUAGGGCUUCACAUACUAUUAUGGCACAAACCGAAACCAAAUAGCCUAUCAAAUAUGACAAAUAUCAAAACUUUAAUAUCUGAUGUAAUGCAUGGUGAUCUAAAGUGAAAGCAACUAAAGUGAAAUUACUGUAGGGGAAUACAAGCAUAUGUCACAAGAUCACAGUGCUCUUUUUAAUAUCACCAUAGACACCUUCAAGCCUAUUUGGCUUGAUUCUGGUAUAUUAUGGGUGUGUUUGGUUGACGUUUUUCAGCUCACCAUCGCCUCCAUUCCGUGAUGUCAUUUAGGUAAAUCAGGGGUUUUAGCCUUUUAAUCACAGACACCUAUAGACAUAAACAGGCAACAGUUUGAAUUUUAUUUGAUUAUAAACAUGGUUUUGCUUGUAAUUUUGGAUCACUUGUGCCGGUUUACAAAUUCAGCUGUUUUCAAUAAAUAACUUUCAAAAUCAUAAA
ensembl:lncRNA